rnacentral:rRNA from 1 species
GACGAACGCUGGCGGCGUGCCUAAUACAUGCAAGUCGAACGCUUCUUUCCUCCCGAGUGCUUGCACUCAAUUGGAAAGAGGAGUGGCGGACGGGUGAGUAACACGUGGGUAACCUACCCAUCAGAGGGGGAUAACACUUGGAAACAGGUGCUAAUACCGCAUAACAGUUUAUGCCGCAUGGCAUAAGAGUGAAAGGCGCUUUCGGGUGUCGUUGAUGGAUGGACCCGCGGUGCAUUAGCUAGUUGGUGAGGUAACGGCUCACCAAGGCCACGAUGCAUAGCCGACCUGAGAGAGUGAUCGGCCACACUGGGACUGAGACACGGCCCAGACUCCUACGGGAGGCAGCAGUAGGGAAUCUUCGGCAAUGGACGAAAGUCUGACCGAGCAACGCCGCGUGAGUGAAGAAGGUUUUCGGAUCGUAAAACUCUGUUGUUAGGGAAGAACAAGGACGUUAGUAACUGAACGUCCCCUGACGGUAUCUAACCAGAAAGCCACGGCUAACUACGUG